rnacentral:sRNA from 1 species
GCCGGGCUCCGUGGUGUACGCCUGUCAUCCCAGCCUACUGGGAGGCUGAGGCAGGAGGAUCACAAGUUCACAGCCAGCCUCUGCAAAAGUGAGGCCCUAAGCCACUCAGCGAGACCCUGUCUCUA